CACGUAGGGCGCAAGCGUUGUCCGGAAUUAUUGGGCGUAAAGAGCUCGUAGGCGGUCUGUUACGUCUGCUGUGAAAACCCUGGGCUUAACCCUGGGCUUGCAGUGGAUACGGGCAGACUAGAGGCAGGUAGGGGAGAAUGGAAUUCCCGGUGUAGCGGUGAAAUGCGCAGAUAUCGGGAGGAACACCGGUGGCGAAGGCGGCGUCCUGGACCAAUACUGACACUGAGGAGCGAAAGCCAGGGGAGCAAACGGG
rnacentral:rRNA from 1 species